GAAGUCGCCGCCCGCGUCUGUCCAAACUUAGUCCCAAACUCAGGAGGUUCCUGUCCCAAGAAGCAAUGUAAAGUUUGAAACGAGCCGAGCGCGGUGGCUCACGCCUGUAAUCCCAGCACUUUGGGAGGCCGAGGCUGGCGAAUCAUUUGAGACACAGGGUCUCACUGUGUUGGCCAGGCUGGAGUGCGGCAGUCUGGAACUCCUGGGCCCAAGUGAUCCUCCAAUCAGCCUCACAAAGCACUGGAAUUACAGAUGGAGUUUUGCUCUUGUUGCCCAGGCUGGAGUACAAUGGCGCAAUCUCGGCUCACUGCAACCUCCGCCUCCGGGUUCAAGUGAUUCUCCUGCCUCAGCCUCCUGAGUAGCUGGGAUUACAGGAGCCUACUACCACGGCCAGCUAAUUUUUUUGUAUUUUUAGUAGAGACGGGGCUUUACCAUGUUGGCCAGGCUGGUUUCAAACUCCUGACCUCAGGUGAUCCACCCGCCUCGGCCUCCCAAACUGCUGGGAUUAUAGGCAUGAGCCACCGUGCCCGGCCCAUAGAUUACUUUUAUAAUCAAGUUUUUCUUUACUUUUUAAAGAGUAAAUUCUCUCACCUCAGGUAGCUCAGAGAGCUGCGCUGGAGGAGAAAAGCCAGUCCUGGCAGGAGCUCUGGUACCUGGGAAGCUGGAUGGAGAGCCUGGGCCAGAAUCCCGGACCCCUCACCUCUGCGGCCUAGCUUUGUGACCUUGGCAAAUCCAUUCUAUGCACCUCCAUUUCCUGUACAGUGGGGAUCCUUAUUUCUCUGGCACAGAUUGGUAUUUGUUCUGUAAAGCCCAGUACCACUUUAUUUUAUUUUAGUUAUUGAUUUUUUUGAGACAGGGCCUCACUCUGUUGCCAAGGCUGGAAUGCAGUGGCGAGAUCAUAGCUCACUGCAGCCUCAAACUCCUGGGCUCAGGCCAUCCUCCUGCCUCGGCCUCCUGAGUAGCUGGGACGACAGGCGUGCACCACUGCGCCUAGCUCCAGUACCAUGUUUAAACGGUGCUCAGAAAACGUGCUAAACUUGGUGGAUGGGAAUUGAAAAGAGAUUUAAUGUUUUAAAAAUCAAAGUCACUCAGCUGCAGUGCCACAUGGGAAGGAGGCCUGGAUGUGAAUGUUCCUGGGAGCUGAGAGCUCCUGUGACUGUCGCCAGUUUCCUGUGGUCUCCCACAGACUCAGGACAUCUCCCUCUGCUCCAGGACACCUCAGGACCACCAGAGGGCACUCAUCGCACCUUCACCCCUGGAAGGGAGCUGGUCCUGGGGCCAAAACCCACUGUGCCUGGGAAGCCCUUCCUGGCUUCUGCUCUCCUCAAUGUAUGACAGCCCUGAUUUACCCCCAGGGACUGUUGCCACUCGGGGUUGUAGAGUAAUAUGUAACCAGACUGGAGAACCACAGCAAUGCUCUCUCCUCUGCCCAUCACCUCCCCUUGGCCCCUCCCUCUUCAUCAGCCCCAUUUUGGAGAAGGGAGAAAGAAGGGAGAGGCAGCAGUCUCCUCCCAGGUGGGGCCGGACUCCAGGGAAGGAGAAUUUUCAGAAGUUGCUGGAGUUGCCGAAUCUGUCAGGGCCCAGGGUUCACAGAGCAGUGAUGGAGGAGAAAGGAGAGGAAGCAGAUCUAAGCACACAUGGGCAUCAAACCAGAGGAACAAAGUCACAUGCAGAGGGCUGCACAUAGACACAGGGAAACACACACACGGAGAUGCACAGAAACACGCAGACCCCAUGCAGGGACCUGCUUUCCCGCCACAGAGGAAAGCAAUCUGAUCAAACAGACCCACUGUGCACCCAGCCCUCCAUGCUUGGGGACAACACACCUACAAAAAUAUAAGAAAAAAAAGGAAAACUGCUCUGCCUGGGAUGCCUUGCUUGACUUUUCUUGUAAAUAAGCAUUUGAAUGUGUUUUGUUCUAGGAGCUUUCGAGGCAGGCACAAAGGGAGCCCUUUCUCAUGCAGGAAGGUCCCUCUGCAACCUCCCCCUUCCCUCCCCUUCCUGCCAUCCGCCUACAGGCUGAGGUGGCUUUAUUUCUGGGACCCGAGUGUGGAUACCUCCUGUUUUAGAGAACCCUGAGAACCACUGUGCUAUUUCCAAGUUAAACUCCAGGCCGAGAUGAAAUUAGGCUUCUUUUUCUUUCUCUUUUUUUUUUUUUUUUUUGAGAUGGAGUCUCACUCUGUUGCCCAGGCUGGAAUGCAGUGGCACGAUCCCAGCUCACUGCAACCUCUGCCUCCUGGGUUCAAGCGAUUCUCCUGCCUCACCCUCCCGAGUAGUUGGGAUUACAGGCACCUGCCACCACACCCAGCUAAUUUUUGUAUUUUUAGUAGAGACGGGGUUUCACCAUGUUGGCCAGGCUGGUCUCGAACACCUGACCGCGUGAUCCGCUGGCCUCGGCCUCCCAAAGUGCUGAGAUUACAGGAGUGAGCCACCAUGCCUGGCCAGAUUGGUGAUUUUUUUUAAUCACCUGCAGCUCCCAGUCAUUCACAGGCCUCUGCCCCAUCCCCUGUCCAUAUGGAAGCUGAGAGGGCCGCAGGGAGGGGCCUGUCCAGUGUGGCCGCAGCUCUUCCCAGGAGGGAAUCCCUGUCAUCCAAAAGUUUUCUUUCCCCUCCUCUGGCCAUUCCAGGCUAAAGGAAUGAAAGCUCCCUCUCUCUAGGCUGGAAAACAGGUAAACGAUAUGUAAUUUAUGAGCACCAUCAGCCCAAAGUGCACAAGUCAUAUAUGCACAAAGGGG
rnacentral:lncRNA from 1 species